rnacentral:rRNA from 1 species
UGUACCUACGGGAGGCAGCAGUGAGGAAUAUUGGUCAUUGGGAGAGAUCCUGAACCAGCCAAGCCGCGUGAGGGAAGACGGCCCUAUGGGUUGUAAACCUCUUUUGUCGGAGAACAAAACCCGGGACGUGUCCCGGACUGCGUGUAUCCGAAGAAAAAGCAUCGGCUAACUCCGUGCCAGCAGCCGCGGUAAUACGGAGGAUGCGAGCGUUAUCCGGAUUUAUUGGGUUUAAAGGGUGCGUAGGCGGGCUGUUAAGUCAGCGGUA